UAUUAUGUUGGUACAAAAGUAAUUGCGGUUUUUGCCAUUAAAACGAAUGGCAAAAACCGCAAUUACUUUUGCAUCAACCUAAUA
rnacentral:pre_miRNA from 1 species